AUUGAACGCUGGCGGCAGGCCUAACACAUGCAAGUCGGACGGUAGCACAGAGGAGCUUGCUCCUCGGGUGACGAGUGGCGGACGGGUGAGUAAUGUCUGGGAAACUGCCCGAUGGAGGGGGAUAACUACUGGAAACGGUAGCUAAUACCGCAUAACGUCGCAAGACCAAAGUGGGGGACCUUCGGGCCUCACACCAUCGGAUGUGCCCAGAUGGGAUUAGCUGGUAGGCGGGGUAACGGCCCACCUAGGCGACGAUCCCUAGCUGGUCUGAGAGGAUGACGAGCCAAACUGGAACUGAGACACGGGCCAGACGCCUACGGGAGGCAGCAGUGGGGAAUAUUGCACAAUGGGCGCAAGCCUGAUGCAGCCAUGCCGCGUGUAUGAAGAAGGCCUUCGGGUUGUAAAGUACUUUCAGCGGGGAGGAAGGUGCUGAGGUUAAUAAGCUCAGCAAUUGACGUUACCCGCAGAAGAAGCACCGGCUAGCUCCGUGCCAGCCGCCGCGGUAA
rnacentral:rRNA from 1 species